AGGCCAGGCACUACUCUGUCCCAACAAUAAGCCCUGUACAUUGGGAAAGGUGCCGAGACAUGAACUUUGGUCUUCUCUGCAAUCCAUCUGGAGCAUUCACUGACAACAUCGACUUUGAAGUUGCACUGACCUGGCCAGCCCUGCCACUUACCAGGUUGGGCUGUGGCUUGCCUUUUCACUUCUUGUGUCCUGUUUAAGAAAUAUCUGCUAUCCCAAGCAUCUGGCAUCUUUCUUGACAUAUGUAGCAGUUGCUUUUUGACAGCUUGCUUCUUCAGUGAAUGAAUAAAUUAAUAAAGAGAAAUGUGAUGUUCAGUGAUCCAUUUUGCAGAUUGCAAACUCCUAGAGAAGGGCUCAACAGUGAGUGCUGAGGCUGCACAGAGGAGGAAGGCAGCACAAUGAUGGAAGGCUUCCUAAAGAGGUCAUCUCCUGAAUCAAUUAAAAAAAAAACCAACAGUGACAACAAAACUAAAAAAUAUGAAGAAGCUGAAACAUGAAAGCUCUGCCAACUGCAAUAUGUAGCUGCUAAGGUUGCUGUAUUUAUUGGAAUCAAGCAAGUGUUCCAGUAAAGAGCACAGAAGAUGUGUCUGGGAGCCUUUAUGUAUAACACUAACAAAGUUGACCUUAGAAUUGGAGUGCCUGGGUUAGAACCCUGCUGGUACCACCUGCUUACUGCAUGCUUCUGAUGUGAGUUCAGGAGAAGACACUGGCAAGGACAGCAAAGAACAGGAGAACACUCUAGCUUCCCUGAUAGCAUUCAAGGUGCUGUCCAAAGCUCUUGAGUUUCUGCUUUCAAGUGACCCUCAGAAAUUCCUCCAUUCACUGCAGAGGUUCUGUUUCUCCUUGCUUUGUUCUGACUUUACGGCAGAACUAAGCUAAUGAGUUAGUUACUAUGGGUUAUCACUUGGAUUUGAAGAACCAUCAUUUCUAGGCAUUGCUGCUCAGAGUGGGUCUGCCCUCAGGGGAAGCUGUCUAACCAGAGCCUAACCCACUAGGGUUUUAUCAGAACCUAACUGACCUGAGGAAAAGAAAUACUCAACUCCAGCAAGCUCCAGCCUUCCAAAUGGAGGAGGAGAAAACCCAACUCCAGCCCACUUCAGCUAUCUUGUCCCACAUAAAGGGGAAGUGGAAGAAACCUGAGAAGCAGGCAUGAAGUUCACAGUCCAGAGGUACAGACACAUCAGAGUUCAGUAUCUGAUGAAUUAGAUGCAAAAACCUCAACAAAGUAUUAGCAAAUUGAAUUCAACAAUGUAUGAAAAUUAUUACAUGCCAUGACUAAUUGGAAUUUAUCUCAGGUAUACAAGCCACGCUGAACAUCUGAAAAUCAAUUCAUGUGAUCCAUCACAUUAGCAGACUCAAGAAAAAAAA
rnacentral:lncRNA from 1 species